GGCAGCAUGGCCGAGUGGUCUAAGGCGGUAGACUUGAAUUUACCAAAGAGUAAUUUAUUAUCUAUUCUCUUCGGAGGCGUGCGUUCGAACCGCACUGCUGUCG
rfam:Aspergillus zonatus CBS 506.65 unplaced genomic scaffold ASPZOscaffold_14, whole genome shotgun sequence.